CAAUUAAAUUAAAUCAUUUUUUCCCUUCCAAAUUUAUGGAUGUAGCAUACUGCCAUCUCAUUUCCAUUUGCUUAUUGUACAAGCCCAAAUAUGCUCGGGCCCAAAUAAAUAUACAAAACCCAACAACCCGUAUGACCCAAUAAAAAUUAACCCUAGCCCAAUAACCAAAUCAGCCCAAAACUAAAAAACAAGAAACAGAAACCCUAAUCUUCAGCCUUAGCCGCCGCACAGCAGCCUUGCGCACUGCCCCCUCCGCAACAGUAGCCGCCAUUAGCGCGAGUUGCGCCUCCACGCGCGCUAUGCCUUGCGCACCACACCUGCAGCAACAAAUAAUACAGCAAGCAAAAAAGAAGAGCAAAAAAAUCGGGGAGCAAUAUGCCAACAAACAACAGAAUAGAUUUAUGUAGAUUUUUUCUUUUUUUUCCUCUUUUCUAUUUUUUUUGCUAUAAAAGGCCGAUUUCAAGCAUUGUAAAAGUGGGGGGAAGUUUUUGGAGUGUAAAAAAACAGACGAAAGAUAUAGAGAGAACAUACAGGAAUCAAACUUGUUUUUGCAUAGGUGAUUUCUUCUUUGUUUUGCUUUGCAGUGUCUAUCGUUUUUUACAUAUAUAUUGUUUUAUUCUCUUUUAUUUUCGUUUUAUUUCAUUUAAAGUAAUAAAGAAAAGAAGGGAUCUUACCUCUUUCGUUAAAGUCGCCGGAUGGUUGCCAUCUCCGUCGCAAUCGGAGCGUUGGCACGAACGGCGACGCAAAAUGGGUUAAAAGAGCCCUAGCAGAGCAACUAUUCUUUUUUUUUAAAAUGUUUGUUGUGGCUGUU
rnacentral:lncRNA from 1 species